AUGAGUUAAAAUUUUAUGGAAAAUUCUUCUCAGAAGUUAAACUUCUCAUAAUUUUCAUUCCCAUUAAACCACAAAAAUCUCCUAAUUUCCCUAACUAAAAUUCCCCAUGUUCGAAACCCUAACUAACCUACCACUAUUCUACCCACCCACCCAAGCUUUUCUUGCCUGCUAAAAUUCUCAUAUUGAUUCACUCCAAGCUCCACUCUCCUCUCCUCUCUCGCCAAGUAUUUAGAAAGCUGGAGAAAGUGAGGAAAUCUUCUCCUGCAGUAGCAUCAUCAUCAUCAGGCAGCAGAAGCAACGGCAGGAGGAAAGCUACAUAGUUCACGGGUCUCCUCCUGUAUAAAUAUUCUGUAUUCAGUCGUGUCCUUUACUCCGACGAGACCACCACACUCUGGAUUUAGGCACCAGGACCACGGACGGAUAGUGAAGUUGUAUGUAGUUGUUCACAUUGCCUUCGUCGUUGUCGUAUUGGAGAUACGGGACUUCAGAAACGACGAUCAAGUACGCAAGAACCGUAGACUUUCUCCAUCCGGCCAAAAGAGUGGAGAAGAGAGAAGAGGAAACUUGGGAGCCUGCUUUUGCCUGCAGAAUUCUUGCCAUACUUACUACCCGGGUAGUGGAGAAGAGCAGAGCAGACGACCCGCCGUAUCAACAAGGCGUUGUAAAUUAAGUGUGAAUGGAUGGAAUCUAGAGGGGAAAAUAUGCAGAAUUUUGAUUAAGGGUGCAUAAAACUGCAGCAUGACAAGGAAUGGAUAUAUGUAUGGGCUUAGGAAUAUGCAAGUGAGUGAAUGAGGGAGGUAUUAGCAUUUAAAAAAUGGAUACCGGCGAGAUGCAAUAAACAUUGCUAGAUUAUGGGACAUAGUGUAAUGAUAAUGACACACCUGGCAAAUCAUGCAAAUCAUCAAAUCAUGAUACUCAUGAAUUUGGGUCGAACGGAUAUUAGACAGUAGGUUUUGUGAAAUAAUUAUACACUUCACAAGUGAUAACGGAUUUGGAAUGUAAUAUCUUGACUUUCAAAAGUGCAAUUAUUUUUCAUCGUAAAAUAUUGAUUUACAAAGAACACAACUCCUCACUUAAUUAAGUUUUGUAAUAUUUUAUUAUUAUUCAGAAAUGUUAUUAAACAGACUUGGCCAAAUUACUGAUUUGAUAUGAAAUAUGCAUUCCUAAAUCUAUGAAACUGUAGCAGAAACUAAUUUAUUUAUUACAUAUGUAUGCACAUUCAUAUUUUCCCCAAACCUGUGUUCAUCCUGGUGCGGCAGCCGGGAGGGCGGAGGACAGGAAGACAAAAAGGUACGAAGACCUUCUGGACAGAUUCCUCUUUGUUCCCGUAGCCGUUGAAACAACUGGAGUAUGGGGCAAGGAGGGCCUGUCCCUUAUCAAAGAAAUAGGGACAAGGAUCACAGCCCUCACGGACGAGAAGAGGGCAACGAAUUUUCUCAUCCAAAGAAUUAGUAUCGCAGUUCAACGCGGAAAUGUGGCCGCGAUUUUAGGAUCUCUGCCAGCAGGACGAGAGCUGGAUGAGAUUUUUUAUCUUUAGGACGACAACAAUUAGAGGAAUUCUUUUUAAAACAUUCAGAUAGGGAAAUUAAUGUACGGCGCUGGUCGUUUAGCUUUGUCGAAAUAAAUGUAUGUAAAAUGAACAUGGAAAGAACAAUAAUAAAUACACAAAUAUGUUGGUCAUAUUUCA